rnacentral:rRNA from 1 species
CGUUGCGGUGAUAGCACGAAACUUGCAAUAGUUCCCAUUAAAUCUCUGAAAUUAAGCUGCGUUGAGUGUGGUUGGUAUCCAAAUGGGUGAUCACCUGGGCAAACGCGUGCUGCCAUCU